AGAGUUUGAUCCUGGCUCAGGAUGAACGCUGGCGGCGUGCCUAAUACAUGCAAGUCGAGCGAACGGACGAGAAGCUUGCUUCUCUGAUGUUAGCGGCGGACGGGUGAGUAACACGUGGAUAACCUACCUAUAAGACUGGGAUAACUUCGGGAAACCGGAGCUAAUACCGGAUAAUAUUUUGAACCGCAUGGUUCAAAAGUGAAAGACGGUCUUGCUGUCACUUAUAGAUGGAUCCGCGCUGCAUUAGCUAGUUGGUAAGGUAACGGCUUACCAAGGCAACGAUGCAUAGCCGACCUGAGAGGGUGAUCGGCCACACUGGAACUGAGACACGGUCCAGACUCCUACGGGAGGCAGCAGUAGGGAAUCUUCCGCAAUGGGCGAAAGCCUGACGGAGCAACGCCGCGUGAGUGAUGAAGGUCUUCGGAUCGUAAAACUCUGUUAUUAGGGAAGAACAUAUGUGUAAGUAACUGUGCACAUCUUGACGGUACCUAAUCAGAAAGCCACGGCUAACUACGUGCCAGCAGCCGCGGUAAUACGUAGGUGGCAAGCGUUAUCCGGAAUUAUUGGGCGUAAAGCGCGCGUAGGCGGUUUUUUAAGUCUGAUGUGAAAGCCCACGGCUCAACCGUGGAGGGUCAUUGGAAACUGGAAAACUUGAGUGCAGAAGAGGAAAGUGGAAUUCCAUGUGUAGCGGUGAAAUGCGCAGAGAUAUGGAGGAACACCAGUGGCGAAGGCGACUUUC
rnacentral:rRNA from 1 species